UUGGCUUGAAACGAGACUUAAGAGGCUUC
rnacentral:piRNA from 1 species